rnacentral:lncRNA from 1 species
AUUAGGGUUUUAAACCCUAAACUGAACUUUUUCCAUGCAGUCAGCAUCAGGGUUUUAAACCCUAAACUGAACUUUUUCCUUUAGUCAGCAUUAGGGUUUUAAACCCUAAACUGAACUUUUUCCUUUAAUCAGCAUUAGGGGUUUAAACCCUAAACUGAACUUUUUUCCUUUAAUUAGCAUUAGGGUUUUAAACCCUAAACUGAACUUUUUCCAUUCAGCCAGCAUUAGGGUUUUAAACCCUAAACUGAGCUUUUCCAUGCAGUCAGCAUCAGGGUAUUAAACCCUAAACUGAACUUUUUCCUUUAGUCAGCAUUAGGGUUUUAAACCAUAAACUGAACUUUUUUCCUUUAAUCAGCAUUAGGGUUUUAAACCCUAAACUGAACUUUUUCCUUUAAUCAGCAUUAGGGUUUUAAACCCUAAACUGACCUUUUUCCUUUAAUCAGCAUUAGGGUUUUAAACCCUAUACUGAACUUCUUUCUUUCAGUCAGCAUUAGGGUUUUAAACCCUAAACUGAACUUUUCCAUUCAGUCAGCAUUAGGGUUUUAAACCCUAAACUGAACUCUAUCCUUUGGUCAGCAUUAGGGUUUUAAACCCUAAACUAAAUUUUUCCUUUAGUCAGCAUUAGGGUUUUAAACCCU